AUGAACGCUGGCGGCGUGCUUAACACAUGCAAGUCGAACGAUGAAGCCCAGCUUGCUGGGUGGAUUAGUGGCGAACGGGUGAGUAACACGUGAGUAACCUGCCCUUGACUCUGGGAUAAGCCUGGGAAACUGGGUCUAAUACUGGAUAUGACUUCUCAUCGCAUGGUGGGGGGUGGAGAGAUUUAUUGGUCUUGGAUGGACUCGCGGCCUAUCAGCUUGUUGGUGAGGUAAUGGCUCACCAAGGCGACGACGGGUAGCCGGCCUGAGAGGGUGACCGGCCACACUGGGACUGAGACACGGCCCAGACUCCUACGGGAGGCAGCAGUGGGGAAUAUUGCACAAUGGGCGCAAGCCUGAUGCAGCGACGCCGCGUGAGGGAUGACGGCCUUCGGGUUGUAAACCUCUUUCAGUAGGGAAGAAGCGAGAGUGACGGUACCUGCAGAAGAAGCGCCGGCUAACUACGUG
rnacentral:rRNA from 1 species